rnacentral:rRNA from 1 species
AGGGUUUGAUCCUGGCUCAGGACGAACGCUGGCGGCGUGCCUAACACAUGCAAGUCGAGCGAAGUUUAUACGAAGCGACCUUCGGGUCAAUUUGUAUAAACUUAGCGGCGGACGGGUGAGUAACACGUAGGCAACCUGCCCAUCACACGAGGAUAGCUGAGGGAAACCUCGGAUAAUACCCGAUACCUUUAUCUGUCAUGUGACAGAUAAAGAAAGCGUUAGCGGUGAUGGAUGGGCCUGCGGCCCAUUAGCUAGUUGGUGAGAUAACAGCUCACCAAGGCGACGAUGGGUAGCCGAUCUGAGAGGAUGACCGGCCACACUGGAACUGAGACACGGUCCAGACUCCUACGGGAGGCAGCAGUGGGGGAUAUUGCGCAAUGGGGGAAACCCUGACGCAGCGACGCCGCGUGAGCGAAGAAGGCCUUCGGGUCGUAAAGCUCAGUCAUUGGGGAUGAAAAGGACAGUACCCAAAGAGGAAGCCCCGGCUAACUACGUGCCAGCAGCCGCGGUAAUAC